AUUGAACGCUGGCGGCAUGCCUUACGCAUGCAAGUCGAACGGCAGCACGGGUGCUUGCACCUGGUGGCGAGUGGCGAACGGGUGAGUAAUACAUCGGAACGUACCUUAUCGUGGGGGAUAACGCAGCGAAAGUUGCGCUAAUACCGCAUACGCCCUGAGGGGGAAAGCGGGGGACCGUAAGGCCUCGCGCGAUUAGAGCGGCCGAUGUCUGAUUAGCUUGUUGGUGAGGUAAAAGCUCACCAAGGCGAUGAUCAGUAGCUGGUCUGAGAGGACGAUCAGCCAAACUGGGACUGAGACACGGCCCAGACUCCUACGGGAGGCAGCAGUGGGGAAUUUUGGACAAUGGGGGCAACCCUGAUCCAGCAAUGCCGCGUGAGUGAAGAGGGCCUUCGGGUUGUAAAGCUCUUUUGUCAGGGAAGAAACAGCAGCUCUAACACAGUCUGCGAAUGACGGUACCUGAAGAAUAAGCACCGGCUAACUACGUGCCAGCCGCCGCAGUAA
rnacentral:rRNA from 1 species